rnacentral:rRNA from 1 species
AAAGCGUGCGCAGGCGGUUUUGUAAGUUUGUCGUGAAAGCCCCGGGCUCAACCUGGGAAUUGCGAUGAAGACUGCAAGGCUUGAAUCUGGCAGAGGGGGGUAGAAUUCCACGUGUAGCAGUGAAAUGCGUAGAUAUGUGGAGGAACACCGAUGGCGAAGGCAGCCCCCUGGGUCAAAACUGACGCUCAUGCACGAAAGCGUGGGGAGCAAACAGGAUUAGAUACCCUAGU